GAAUGAAUGAAUGUUCACGUAAGUUUCUCAGAAAAUGUUAGUGCUAAAAAUAAAUACAUGAUUACAAAUGCAUUUAAAUUGUUGUCAUAGCUUUGAAACAAAUUAAAAAAAAAUUUUAACGCAACAGGUUUUUUCUCAGUGAAUACAGGCAACAGGCGAGCAGUUGUUGACAUUCUUCUUAGCCUGGCUGUUGACUAGACGCCCAGCACGUGCUGUCGCUCCGCUCCGGUUCGUCGCCUUGCCGGGCUGGUUAGAGCGAGACAGAGGAACGCGAGCGGGACGCAGCUGAGCAUGCAUAUUUUAUCGCCCCAGCUCCAGCGCCUCGCACCGCUCCCGCUGCCCACACACCUCCGGGAAGCCCGAGGAUGAUGCCACGGAGCCACAACAUCAUUACAAACAGCCCGGCACCGGAAGGUGCAGCUGGUGAGGCAGCCACAGGGCCAUGGCGACUGAGGCAACAUCAACGGUAGCAGCAGCAGCAGCAGCAGCAGCAGCAUCAGCAGCAACAGCAACAGCUGGAGUCUUCAAUUCAAUCAGUUUAAAUCUCUCUGCUGAGUGCCCAGAAAAUGGAAAUUUUCCUGAUUUGGCUGUCACAACGGUUUUUAUUUCUGCACUAUAAUAUGAAAGAAUUUUAUACACAUUGAUAUACAUAUGUACAUAUUCAUAUAUGUGCGAAUGUAAGUGAUACUUUAAAUUAACUUAAUGUUAUGUUAAUAUCAAAGUGAUGAGCAUUGCGGAUUUUUUAAUUCGUUUGCAUAUAGUUAUGAAACGAUUAUUAUUACAAUUUAAAUCAAAAUUUUACUCCAAGCUAAAUGUGUACAUCCUUUAAUAAAAUUGGUUAAGAAAGGCACAAAUUCUUUCGAUAAAACUCAAUAAAUAAGCUUUAUAGAAUGUUA